CAGUUUACUUAAACAUAACAAUGCGGAAAACUUACCCGAGUACGACCUGAUGCUUCAGUUCCGUGCCACUGAACUAAAAAUAUUAUGAAAACUUUAGUUUAUUCUUCACGUCAAAUUGGUAAGUUCUUUGUUAAUUAUGUGACAAGUCUUAGAUAUAGAUUUCCUCAAUAUAAGCUAAAGAAAAUAUUGCACAAUACUUUUUGCACAAGUCUCAAUAUAGGCCAAAGAAAAUGUUGUAUGAUAGUUUGUUUGUACAAAUCUCAAAUUUUUACACUGAUAUUUUUAUUUAUUGUCUGACAAGACUUCAUCUAGCAAUAAAUUGCUAAAAACAACACGCUGAAAAUCAAGGAUAUGUUUGCAUCAACGAUCAAAGUUUAGGGAAUGGCCAGGGCUGACUUAAAUGCUUUAAAUGCAGCAUUGCAUAUUUUUCUCUAAAAAUAUAAUAUGAAAAAAUUUUCUAGUCGUCCCAAUUUUGCAAGAUUUCUCUUUAUGUAUAUAAAAGUUUAACAACGUAGAAAACUUACCCGAGUAAACAUUGAUCCUGAUGGCUGCUACCAGGAAAAGAAAUAUUAGAAAGGCUUUACUUUAUUCUUCAUGUUGAAUCAGUAAGUUCUUUUUUAAAUUACGUGACAAGUCUUAGGUUUAGAUUUCCUCAAUAUAAGCUAAAGAAAAAGCUGGACGAUAGUUUGUGUGCACAGAUCUCAUAUUUUGGUAUUAGCAAUUCGUUUAGUGUCAAGCAUAACUUUGUCUAGCAAUGAAUUGCCAAAAUUAACACACUGAAAAUCAAAGAUCUGUUUGCAUGAACAAUCAAAGUGUUGGGAAUGGAGAGUGCUACCUGAAACGCUUUGGCUUCUGCAUUCCAUUUUUCUUGAAAGUAUAAUUUGGAAAAUCUUCAAGUUGUCCUAUUUCGGAAAGAUUUUUUUGAGUAUAUAUAAACAUAACAUUGUGGAAAACUGACCAUAGUACGCCCGAAUGGUGCAAUUCCCUGUCACGAAAAGAAAAAUAGUAGGAAAACUUUAGUUUAUUCUUCAAGUCAGAUUCGUAAGUUCUUUGUUAAAUU
rnacentral:lncRNA from 1 species